AGAAGCAUUACAGGGCAAUACCUCCUCUGGCAGUCGGCCGUCAUAUUAGAUGUCUACUUCUGACGUACUAUUCAUGGCGUGCAUACUGCCAAAGGAGAUUUGCCCGGCAAUUCUCUU
rnacentral:pre_miRNA from 1 species